rnacentral:tRNA from 1 species
AGGGUGUUAGUUCAACGGUAGAAUAGUGGCCUCCAAAGCCAAAGAUCUUCGGGUUCGAUUCCCAGAUACCCUGCCA